rnacentral:rRNA from 1 species
UACAGGGGGGGCAAGCGUUGUUCGGAAUUACUGGGCGUAAAGGGUUCGUAGGUGGCCACCUAAGUCAGACGUGAAAUCCCUCAGCUUAACUGGGGAACUGCGUCUGAUACUGGGUGGCUUGAGUGCAGGAGAGGAAUGCGGAAUUCCAGGUGUAGCGGUGAAAUGCGUAGAUAUCUGGAGGAACACCGGUGGCGAAGGCGGCAUUCUGGACUGUAAUUGACACUGAGGAACGAAAGCCAGGGGAGCAAACGGG